UACGAAGGGGGCUAGCGUUGCUCGGAAUCACUGGGCGUAAAGCGCACGUAGGCGGAUUGCUAAGUCAGGGGUGAAAUCCUGGAGCUCAACUCCAGAACUGCCUUUGAUACUGGCGAUCUUGAGUCCGGGAGAGGUGAGUGGAACUGCGAGUGUAGAGGUGAAAUUCGUAGAUAUUAGGAAGAACACCGGUGGCGAAGGCGGCCCACUGGCUCGACACUGACGCUGAGGUGCGAAAGCGUGGGGAGCAAACAGG
rnacentral:rRNA from 1 species